GAAUCAACGCUGGCGGCGCGCUUAACACAAUGCAAGUCGAACGAGAAAGCCGGGGCAACCUGGUGAGUAAAGUGGCGUACGGGUGAGUAACACGUGGAUCAUCUACCCUGGAGUGGGGAAUAACGCUGGGAAACCGGCGCUAAUACCGCAUAAUCCCGAGAGGGCAAAGGGAAGCAAUUCCGUUUCAGGAGGAGUCUGCGGCCGAUUAGCUUGUUGGCAGGGUAAAAGCCUACCAAGGCAUCGAUCGGUAGCCGGCCUGAGAGGGCACACGGCCACACUGGCACUGAAACACGGGCCAGACUCCUACGGGAGGCAGCAGUGGGGAAUCUUGCACAAUGGGGGCAACCCUGAUGCAGCGACGCCGCGUGAGCGAUGAAGCUCCUCGGAGUGUAAAGCUCUUUCGGCAGGGAAGAUUAUGACGUA
rnacentral:rRNA from 1 species